rnacentral:rRNA from 1 species
UUAUUGGGCGUAAGGGCUCGCAGGCGGUUUCUUAAGUCUGAUGUGAAAGCCCCCGGCCUCACCGGGGAGGGUCAUUGGAAACUGGGAAACUUGAGUGCCCAAGAGGAGAGUGGAAUUCCACGUGUAGCGGUGAAAUGCGUAGAGAUGUGGAGGAACACCAGUGGCGAAGGCGACUCUCUGGUCUGUAACUGACGCUGAGGAGCGAAAGCGUGGGGAGCGAACAUGAUUAACUUCCCUGGUCAUCCCCGCCGGAAACGAUGAUUGCUUAUUGUUAGGAUCCUUCCCCCCCU